AGUAGAGUAAGACAUCGGAGCAAAGAUUAUCUCACAAACGGACUGACGAGUUCAUGCAGUCCCCCUGGAGACAGCCGGGUUAGAGAAUGCUCAAUUUCCUUCUAAAAACCCAUUGAACGAAAAGGCCAGCCGUGCCUUUUCAAAAGUCGGACCCUAUUCACCAACUUGUCCCGAUAUGUUGUGUUGCAUGAGUCCACCUGCUAACACCUUUCUUGCAGAUAGGAAUAUCUCAAUGUGACAGGAAACAUACCUGCUCUCAGCCACGUUCGGCGGGCAUUUACAGAUGUCACCUUGAGUGCUU